CAACUCUCAACAACGGAUAUCUUGGCUCUCGCAACGAUGAAGAACGCAGCGAAAUGCGAUACGUAGUGUGAAUUGCAGAAUCCCGUGAACCAUCGAAUCUUUGAACGCAUAUUGCGCUCGAGCCUUCGGGCAAGAGCAUGUCUGUCUCAGCGUCG
rnacentral:rRNA from 1 species